rnacentral:rRNA from 1 species
ACACAUGCAGUCGAGCGGAGAUGAGGUGCUUGCACCUUAUCUUAGCGGCGGACGGGUGAGUAAUGCUUAGGAAUCUGCCUACUAGUGGGGGACAACAUUCCGAAAGGAAUGCUAAUACCGCAUACGUCCUACGGGAGAAAGCAGGGGAUCUUCGGACCUUGCGCUAAUAGAUGAGCCUAAGUCGGAUUAGCUAGUUGGUGGGGUAAAGGCCUACCAAGGCGACGAUCUGUAGCGGGUCUGAGAGGAUGAUCCGCCACACUGGGACUGAGACACGGCCCAGACUCCUACGGGAGGCAGCAGUGGGGAAUAUUGGACAACGGGGGGAACCCUGAUCCAGCCAUGCCGCGUGUGUGAAGAAGGCCUUAUGGUUGUAAAGCACUUUAAGCGAGGAGGAGGCUACCGAGACUAAUACUCUUGGAUAGUGGACGUUACUCGCAUUUUUUUUCCUCGCCCUAACUCUGUGCCAGCAGCCGCGGUAAUACCGAGGGUGCGAGCGUUCCUCGGAU